CAAUACAAGUGCGUUAUUCAGAUUGCGAGCUGCACUUUAUAUAACUGUGCAAGUGUCGGUCGCAAAAUCGGUUGAGCUGAUUUCCAAUUGGCAGUUGAUUUAAUUGCCAGCCGGCUGCCUUAAGCCUUUUCAAUUGCCUUCAGGCACGCCAACUAGCUAAUGUGGCCACCACCAAGCCAAGUUUUUUAGCUCGUGGAAGGCCAGCGGCAAGG